GUGAAAUCUCCAAGUGAGACUGAAGGUUGAAGGAUUUGGACAGUAGUGGAGACUGCAGCCAUCUCUGAUGCAUAAGCUAAAGUCUGCAACAAUUUUAUAUCGACAUUUACAUUUGGAAUAGCAGAAGGACCUGUCUGCCAACAGCGAAAAAGGGUCCAGCACUGCAGCUCUCCUACUUUGAUCAGCUGCCAGCGUGACCAGGUUUGGAAAUGCGGUGUCCAGGGUGUGCACCAUACGGCUGCUGCCCAGCCCUUGGAGAGCAUAAACUCAGCAUGAGCAACAAAUUACAGGGCAAAGUGUAAAAGGAAAAGCCCUUUAUUUGUAAGAAAGAAAAGAAGCGGAGGCCAGAAAGCCGCCCAGCAAGACGGUGCCGCUGGGAUCAGCAGGAAACCCAGAAGCUCUAUGGCUUCCGAGGAUUUUACGACCAGAGAAACCAUUUCCCACGGGAUGAGCAACGAGGUAACUCGAGGGACUAUGCCCUAGUAACUUGCUGCUUAAGUGCUGACGCCCUUCAAACCCCAAGGCCUGUGACCUGGACUCAGACUGCACAUGGUUGUCUUCUCCUGGAAUGUCCCCUUCUCUGCACGAGGAGAACGCAGUCGUGAUGUGAUGGCCAGCAAUGCUUGAGAAUGAUUUUUUUCCUGAGACUGAGACCCUGGGUGGCCGCCCCGAGCAAAGACCUCCCUGUCCCACCCUGAGAUGCAUUUGGCACCAGCAUGAAAUCAAUUGUUGUUUAAAACAGACACUGUGUGUGGACCUUGCAAUGAGGUGGAUUGUGCAGAAGAGGUGGUGCUUCCAGGGGACCAGUUCUAAUCGAGGAGGUGGGAUGCACUCAUUUGAAGUGGCCCCCAUUCUGAGAAGCAGCUGUGCAGCCUCUUCAGUGGUGGAGACCGGAAGUGCCGGGUUGCAGAGGAGCCACUGAUGUGAAAGUAUCAGACCGGAGUUUGUACCGAAAACAGGAGGAGACGGGAGCAGCUGGAGAGAGACAGGGCGGGCAGGUGCUUCAGACUGGCUGCUGCAGUUUCUGUUUCCUCCAGUUAAGGACAAACAGUGUCACCACUGAAGAGCCCACUUAGCUCAGGCUGCUUUGCUUCUCUUAGGAAACUUGCGUAACCCUAAUCAGCACACUGUCCUAGACCCUCAGAUGAGCGUAUCUAAAAUGGGCCUGUCAUUCUGACUUUCUGGAUUUGAUGCCAUGUUUCCUUUAAAAAAAUGAAUGAGCACACUGAUUUUCUAUUUCUUUUCACCAUCUUACCAUGAGCUCAUGGACAAAAUAUAACUAUAAUUCAUAGUUACUAAAAUUUAUUCUUCUGUCUCAUUAAAUCUAUUCAUGACAGUAUGUAUAUGUGUGUUUAUAAAUUCUCAUUUUCCUGCAUUCUGUGUGUUUUGCUAAAUAAGGGGAAAACUAAGUUUUGUAGAUAGUAUUGUAAGCCCCAAACUUAGAGAGCAGUGACUUUGAACUUGUAAGAUAACCAGAAGUCUUUACUGGGCAGGUUUUAGGAACUUCUCUGUGGGAUAGAUAAAAAUCAACUCCUUUAUGAACUUCAUUCCUCUUAUUAGUGGUACAGACUUCCAAUCUGGUUCUGCACACCUACGUCUGUAGUGAGAAGUACAGGCAUUGCUGGUUUGUCUUGUUAGCACUCAAAGAUCUUUGCUGUCAGUUUCUGCAUAAUGUUUACUGCCACAUGUGUGUAACAGCGAUACAGGGAAAGGUGAAGUUUCUGUUCUUCUGACAGUAGUCACAUCUGACCACCAACAUGUCCAGCAGACACCAAAUGGACGUCCUAUAAUUUAUUCCAUUUUGUUGCUGUCUGCCUGGAGAUAACAUCGGAUCCCAUAGGUAAAAUCUCAGGCUUACAAGACUUCCUACUCCCACCACACCACACACCUAGCUGAGAUGCCAAACCCAAGAGGGAGAUUGUCACCUUAUUUCUAACCAAGGCGCUAUAAAUUGGGGAUCCACUAACCCUUUCUUGGGGUUAAUUUGCUCAACAGCUUACAGAACGCAGCCGACCAUGUUUACUUACCAGUGCUCCAUAAAGGCUGUCAUGGAGGACGUGGGAAGAUCAGGGCCAGCAUGGGCUCCAGAGUUGUGCUGAGUGUGACACCCCCGGAACCCCACAUGUUCUGCUGCCCGGAAGUUCUCUAAACUCGGUGAUUUGGGGGUUUUAUUAGUCUGCAUCACUUGGGCGUGAUUGAUUAAAUCAUCAGCCACUGGUGAUCAAUUUAAGCUUCAGCCCUUUACCCUCCCCAAAGAUUGGAGGUGGUGCUGAAAAUUUUAACUCUAAUAGUGCACGGGUUUUAUGGGCAAAAGCCUCCAUCCUGAGGCUGUCCGGGGUUGCAGGCCAUCUCAUUAGCAUGUAAGAGACGUUCUGGUCAUUGUCCAUAAAGAGGUCUAUGCCAGGAAACAGGAGAGAAGAACAAAUAUAUAUGUCUUAUUAAGAACAUCACAGUGUCUCCGUUUGCAGUGUGUGGUGUAUUGCAGACCCAAAAACAAGCAAACAGCAACGAAAAAUAUUCCAGGACAUUUUUCAUAAGGAAAAUAUCCAAGUGUUACUCCCUAACUAAAAUAUGAUACAGAAGAUACAGCAAACAAAUAAAUUCUGGGAAUUUAUCACAAUACUUUGAACCCUAACUAUAAUUUAAGAAAAAACAGGGCAGAUAAUUCUUCUGAGCUCCAAGUAAAUAUCCAGUGUUUCCUCCGUGUGAUCUGCAGUAAGUGCCGGGCAGAGACAGCCAGGUAACUUGGCGUGAGGGUGACUGGCCUCGAUUCCAAGAGAGGUAUUUGCAUGUUUCCUCUCUGGAUUCUACGUGGUAAAUGAAUUGCUUUCAUCUUACAUCUGCAACAUUCUACAGUCUACCUAGCUGUGCUAUGAUAUUAAAAAAAUUUAAAUCCCUCUUGUGAGUAUCCAAUUGUGACCUUUCUUUUUAUGGAAGAUGUAUUCUGUUUCCAGUUUUGCUUGAUCUAAGCAGCUUCUAAUGCAAAGGAGUACACGGUUUAUAAAAUGACACUAAUACACUCUGUGUCGUGUGGUGUCAGAAUAUGAUGUCACAUAAGAAAUCCCAUUUUUGUUGCAAUAAAAUCACCAAAGGAAAAUCUAGAUAAAAUAACUAAUUUAUUUACCUGUAGGUAUUUGUGAAAAACCUCUGUGUGUGUAUCUGUGAUGAUUUAUUCUGAUUUAAACUGUGGUGUACAGAGCCACUUUGUUUUCAGAUCAGGAAGAUGAGUUUUAAAAUUCAUUUUCAUUAUUCUACCGAUAGGUAUGAGGACAAAAUGUACACAUCAUAGUCGUAAUAUGCUAGUGCUAUAUUGAAGUCCAGAGGACUAAGGUUUAGCUUCAUCCUGACCUUGCUUUGCAUGUGCCCUUGAGCAAAUCAGCCUUUCUGAGCUGCUACUUUUUGUCUAUGCCCUGGAGGUAGCAAUGUCUGCUGUACUUUAUUGGCUUGUCAUGAGAGAUAAUAUUCUUGGAAAUGAUCAAAGUUUGUUGAGCACAUGUAUGAACAUACCAGAAUAACUCCAACUGUUCAGUACAAUUAAUUCAUACUAAUAUAAAAUUAAAUAAAUGUCCGUGGAAUCUUGGAAGUACUACAGUCAUCUGAAAUGAAAUUAUUUUCAAAUUCAGCUAAAUUAUUUUUGGCCAAAGGGUAAGCCAGUUAUCAAAUUGCUGUUUAUGUUAAAAUAACCCUUCAUUAAUGAAAACAUUAUGAAUGGACCUUGUCAUAUACCUAGGCAAGGUGAUUCAUCACAGAUUUAAAGACAACAAUGAUGAAUGAUAAUUAUUUGAGGCACAAGUGUAGUUGACCUUGAAGUCACUGGCACUUGCAGUUCGGAUGCUAAACAAUCACCCAAAGCUCAUGUGUUCGAGACAUGGUCCCCAGGCUGGGCUCGUGGGUGGUGGGAGAGGGGCCUACGUGAAUGUCUGCAGGUCAUUGUGGUCAUGCCCUUGAAGGGGGUUAUGGGAGGUCAGCCUCGUUCUUCUCUUGCUCUCUGGUGAUGGGAAGCUGGCUGGUAGCAUGGCAUGAAGGAAUGACACGAACUCCAAUCAUUACCUGUUAUGUGCCAAGCGCUACACUGGUGGUUCCCACACAUUGUGUCUGUUUCUCACCGAAUAUCUCCAAGUGCCUGACUGCCAGGAAGCAGGAACAAGUGUAUCACUGGAGGGGCAGACACAGUGGUUUGCUCAGACUGCAGAGUUGGUACCAAGCAGAGGCAGAAUUUGUACCGGUCCAGGACCAUACUCAUUAUGUCAAGUGUUUGACGGAUGUUGCAGCUUCAUUACAAAAAAAGGCCGGAUCCUAGGACAGACCCUCCAAUAGACCACCACCCAGAGGGUGACGAUGGCUGUCUUUUUCCGCGGUGGCUGUGGUGAGCUGUAGGAAGUAGUAGCUUUCCUUCCGGUCUCAGUAAGAAAACACCCAGUUUCAUCGUUGCUGGGACAAGGUACUCAAAACUUGCCAUGUACACGUGGUGGAACUUAUUUUGAGCGAUGCUGAUGAAGUUUCUGUCCACGUUUGGCAGAGGCUCAAGAGUACGAACUUCAUAGUACCCGGGCAGAGAACAGCUGCUCGUGUCGUGGGCACCGGAAAGCAGAGGAGAGGGAGGCACCCAGCAGGGAGGUGCAUCUUCCAGGUCUCCUACCCAGCAACCUGCCUCGUCUGCCCCCAGCCCCACCUCCUGAUGGCAAAUCAUCUGCAGCGCCCGGGUCCAAUCCUCUGCCUCCUGAGAGCGGUUGUGCCUCUCGGGGACUUCUAGAUAAAAACCAUAACACUUUACUUAAGCUCUGUUUCUUACAAAUUGUCCAAGGUUUGCUGCUCCUGCCUGCAGUUUUAGGUCUAAUGAAGCGAAUCCCGGGUUUUCAAAGGAAAAGAUUCCAUUUCUAUGACAACACUCUUCUAGGUGUCUGUUGAUACUGUUCUUGCAAUCCAUUGCUACUGGCAGUGACAGACGUGAGCUGCACAUAAAAGAUAACUCGUUCUACAUAAGGUGUCCUGGAGGUCACUUCAAUAACACUGUUAGGCAUUACCAAAAUUGGAGAGCUCUUGGGGAUGGCACUGCGAAGAGCUCUCUUCCUCCUCCCCCUCCUUCCUUUCUGUGCGACUGGGAGAAAUGUGACUUGCUUCUGGCAGAUAUUCAGUCUUUAAGCUUCCAGAGCUGUGCAGCUCUUUUAAUAAAUGACGUGUUUCUUGUCCAUGGGCUCUUAGUUCCUUCACUUUAACUGAAGACUGCACCAGAACAGCAGCUGCUCAACUGAGAGAACAAACAGGAAGUUGCUCCGGUCCUCGUCUUCCACUGCUUAUGGACUGAGGACUCUGAACUGUUGUCUCUUGUAAUACACAAGCGCUACCAGCUCCUAGAAGCUCAGGAAAGCCCCCUCCAUGUGCCUGGUGAGCGUAAUACAGAGUUUACCAAGUCACUCUGAGCAAUGCCUCCUGCCCACCCACUCACUGUAGUUUAAAGCUGAUUGGCUGUCCCAGAGCAGCUGCAGUGAGACACGCAAACCUGGAGAAGCCAGUUCAAGUUUAUAGAAAAUAGGAUGUGGUGUGCACAAAACAUUCCCAGACACUUAUGUGUAACAAAACCCUAUAAUAAGCUGAGCAGGGUGGCACAGGUCUGUAAUUCCAGCUUCUGGGAAGGCUGACGCAGGGAGGGUCACAAGUUUGAGGUUAGCCUGGGCAACUUAGUAAAACUGUCUCAAAAAAGGAAAAAAGGAUGAGUGUGUAGCUCAGUACUGGUUUAAUCCCUAGUACUGAGGGAAAAAAGACCUGCACUUGCUCUAAACUGGCAUGUCUUUCCACAGCCUUUGUACCAUAUGUAGAACAGGAAUAAUAUGCAGAGACAGAAUUUCUGUCGUUCUUUAAGAAACUGAUCAUUCAAAUGUAGAACAAGAAAUCAAGAAUGUGUGUAAUUUCAUUUUGCUUUCUUAUCUUUCUCAUCAGAAUUAUAGUCUCUGGAUGCACAUAGGAUUUUUUCAAACUACCAUGUGGGCCAUCAUUCCUGCAAUGUGAUUAUGAGGGUAGCUGUCUAGGUGAGAUGCAGCAUGGAAAUCUUGCAAUUAGUAGUAAUCAACUCAUAUGCAAACAAAGAGUGUCAUGCUGGGAAAAGAAACGAAAAAACCCAAUUUUAAUU